rnacentral:lncRNA from 1 species
CGGAGAUGGCGGCAGCCAGAGUUCGGACGUGAGCAGCCUGCGUGAACCAGUGCGCCAGGAUGCCAAGGAAGAUGUGUCCUUGCAGGAUUACGCUGACGCUCAGCAGCCUGCAGGCAAAGACGCGCCGGCCAAGACCGACGGAAGCAGCUCCAGCACCUCGAGCAAGAAGAGCAAGGCCAGCAAGGCAUGAGGCGGGAACGCGGACAAAGGCGGCAACAAGAAGGCGCCACCUGGCGAGCCGGUUAGCCAGGAAGGCAGCUUACGAGACAGCAAGACGUGAUCGGUGUUGGGACCGCGCCACACAACCUCUUUCGCAUGAUGCUGAUUCGCAUUUGACACAAAACUUUAUUGAAAUAAGGGAAUUUCUGUUGCGUAUUUAGCAAAAGUGCCUCUGCAAGGCUGUGUUAAAGAAUCGUGCAAAGUACGAAUAAGAGAGCAAGAAGGAAUGUUAAUUCCCCACUGCGCAAUAAUCGUUUCCUAUACGUUGCCAGUAAUAACACCUAUAAUUGUUACAAUUCAGCCCUCCAUGGGCUCAGUCGGUACGAAGACAGUAGCUACAGCAUUUAAAGCAAGUGCUCCGACGUGGAGAACACACGAAAGAUGAGCUUCAAUUACCAUUUCAAUAUUAUUGAGCUUAGCUAAGAGCAUAUAGAGCAGGCGCCCCGGCUAUAUGGCAGGAAGGCAAUGUGGCAGGGAUAUCUUGUGAAAGAAAGCGAGCUACGUUUAGUGGUUUUCGUAUCUUCGAC